rnacentral:misc_RNA from 1 species
AGUAUCUCAGUUCACCACAAUUCCUAAUCUCCAACACUUGAAGUGCCCCCAGUGUCUUUAUUUUGGCUUCAUCUAAUCUCACGAGUCCUGACAUACCUGCAAUUUCCAAGGUAGUGAGAGAGGUGGCAUAAGACACAUUCCUGAGAACUGCCUCUUGACUUCCAAUAAUAGAUAGUGUUAUAAGAGACUGAAGCCCUUCUGGUAAAUCAACUAACUGUGGACAAUUCAGCACAUGUAGUUCUUUCAAGGAAGGC